GUUACUUCAUGGUUGCUCAACUCUCUCUCCAGGGAAAUUGCUGAUAGUGUGAUUUACUCCAGAUCUGCUAGAGAACUUUGGCUCAGCUUGGAGCAUCGAUUUGGUCAGUCAAAUGGUGCUAAACUCUUUCACCUGCAAAAGGAAUUAAGCAGGUUAGUUCAGGGAAACAAUAACAUAGCAGGAUAUUUCACUAAUCUUAAAAGACUCUGGGAUGAACUAGACUCUUUAAAUUCAAACAUCAAAUGUUCAUGUGUGUGUGUCUGUCAAGGAAAACAUAAAAUGGAGAAAUCUAUGGAGGAUGAAAAGCUUAUUCACUUCCUUAUGGGGCUCAAUGACACUUAUGCUCAGGCUAGAGGAAACAUCUUAAUGAUGAAUCCACUUCCUGACAUCAACAUUGCAUACUCCUUGAUCUUGCAAGAUGAAAAUCAGAGGGAGACUUACAUGAGUCCUUUUAUGCCCUCUGAUUCAUCAUCUUUCAUGGUGAAUAGUAACAUGAAUCAGCAUAGAGGAAGGCAGCCUCAACAAUUCACUGGUAACACAUUCAGAUCUGGAAAUACAUAUCCUAGAAAUGACAACUCACAAGGCUCACAGAAACCUCAAAAACAGUUUCAGAAAUUCAAAGGAAAAAAAGGAAAAUAUGAUCCUAAUGCAAACUGCACCCACUGUGGAAAGAAUGGACACUUGAAGUUGAACUGUUAUAGAUUGAUUGGGUUUCCAGAAGACUUUCAGUUUACAAAUGAAAAGGGAAGUCAUGGUCAAAUAAGAGGAAAUGCAGUGGUCAACAUGGAAGAGGCAGAAGUUGGAUCCACUACUCAUGCUAUCAAUCAACAUUUCACUCAGGAACAAAUCAAUUUUCUGUUUCAAAAUGGGAAAGAGCUACUUCAAGCUUUCACACAGAUGAAGGUGGAAGAUAAGACCAACUUCUCAAAUGCUUCUGAGAUCAAUGCAAAUGUUGUAGCUGGUACACUAAUGAAGUAUUUUGGUUCCUGUUUCUCUGUUUUCAAUUCAAAUACAUGGAUUGUAGACUCGGGUGCUUCAGAACAUACGUGUUUUAAUCCUGAUUCUUUCUUAUCUAUGUCCCCCCUUACAGUUCCUCUAAACAUCAAUCUUUCUAAUUCAGAAUCUAUCAAUGUUACUCAUACUAGUGUUGUAUGUUUGUUUUCUGACCUAAUUCUGACUAAUGUCAUCUAUGUUCCUAGUUUCAAAUAUAACUUACUAUCAGUUCAUAAGUUAUGUUGUCAAUUCAACCUUUCAAUCUUUUUCACUUCUAAUGAAUGUCUACUGCAGGGCCUUUCCAUGAAGAAUCCUCAAGUUUUUGGUAAGGCUAAGGAGGGUCUCUACUUGCUUCAGCCAAAUCCUAAGAAGUCUAUUCUUCAGUCAACUGAUUCCCAAUCUGUUUCUUUUCCUUUUUCUGUUUGUUCUAGUGCACUUUCUGAUGUAAAGUUGUGGCACAUUAGACUUGGGCAUCUGCCUUUAACAUCAAUGAAAAAUGUCAGUUUCAUUUCUGUUCCUUCUAGUCUUGAUUGUUAUUGUGAUAUUUGUCCACAAGCUAGGCAAUCUAGGCUUCCCUUUCCUAUCAGUCUUAAUAAAUCUAAAUCCAAGUUUGAGUUAAUUCAUGUUGACACCUGGGGGCCUACAAGGUACCAACUUAUAAUCAUCAUAAAUAAUUUCUUACUAUAGUUGAUGACUAUAGCAGGGCUACUUGGGCAUAUCUAUUGGCUAGUAAGAGUAACUCGUUUCAUGCUUUGCAGUCUUUUAUAUAAAUGGUGCACAAAUAGUUUGAUGCAAAGGUAAAGAUAGUGAGAUCAGAUAAUGCUCUUGAGCUAGGGAAAAGUGAAGCAGGUCUCUGUUUCUUCAACUCCCUUGGCAUAAUUCAUCAGACCUCUUGUGUUGCUUCCCCUCAACAAAAUGGUAUUGUUGAAAGGAAGCACAUACAUCUACUUGAGACUGCCAGGGCACUUAUGUUUCAAUCAAAAGUUCCUAUGAUUUAUUGGGGAGAGUGUAUCUUAACAGCUACUUUUCUUAUUAACAGGUUCCCAUCCAAAGUUCUUGAUGGCAAGACACCUUUUGAAUUGAUUUUUGGGGAAACCCCUUCUUAUCAUUUCUUAAGACAUUUUGGUUGCUUAUGUUAUGCUAAUACUUUGAGUCAGGGGAGAGGUAAGUUUGACUCAAGGGCCAGAAGUUGUGCACUUCUGGGCUAUCCUAUAAAUCAGAAAGGUUACAAGUUAUUGGACUUGCAUACUAAAAAGAUUUUCAUCUCUAGAGAUGUGCAUUUUGUUGAGCAUAUCUUUCCUUUUGCUACUGCACAGUACGUUCCUCCUAUUUUUUCAAAACAUCUUAUUGAUUCUGAUUUUUUUUCUUCUCCAUCUACUCCUCAGACUUCUACCUCUCCUAUUUUUCCUUCUUUGGAUCCAAUUUUGGUAUCCUCUCCUCCUUCUAACCUAUCUGAACCUGCUGUGGCUUCUCCCACCCCUGUUCCUCCUCUCAGAAGGUCCUCUAGGUCUAUAUUAGGGAAAACUCCUUCUCAUCUGCAAUCUUAUAACUCUUACUGAUGUCACCCAUUCCUGUUUCUCAUCUACUCACACCCCUUCCACUAUUUCUGUUCAUACUCUUUCUCAACCUAAUCAAACCACCAUUCACAACACCUCUCAUAUCUUAAAACCUACCAGUUAUGCACAAGCUUGUUCUCAUCCAGGUUGGCUGCAAGCCAUGGCUGCUGAACUUGAAGCUUUGCAAUCCAACUACACUUGGGAUGUGGUUCCUUUGCCUCAUGGUCGAAAAGCUUUACCUUGUAAGUGGGUUUACAAAGUUAAGCAACAUGUUGAUGGUACUUUGGAAAGAUUGAAGGCCCGAUUGGUUGUGAGAGGUGACAUACAACAACAUGGGAUUGAUUUCACUGAAACCUUCUCCCCUGUUGUUAAGAUGACCACUAUUAGAUGUUUGUUGGCUAUUGCAGCCAAGAAAUCUUGGGACAUUUUUCAAUUUGAUGUCAAUAAUGCAUUUCUUCAAGGUGAUUUACAAGAGGAGGUUUAUAUGAAAUUUCCUACAGGUUUGGUUCCUCCUCAACCUAAUAUGGUUUGCAAACUUCGCAAGUCUCUCUAUGGUCUUAAACAGGCUUCUCGGCAGUGGUAUGCCAAACUUGCCGGAGCUCUCACUUUUAAGGGUUUCACUGCCUCCCUCAAUGACUAUUCUUUAUUCUUCAAGAGGACAGGUUCUCUUACUACUAUUAUUGCCGUCUAUGUGGACGACAUCCUUAUUACGGGUGAUGAUCACCAAGAAAUCUCUGCUCUUAAGUUAUUUCUUCACUCAGAAUUUAAGAUCAAGGACCUUGGUCUUUUACACUAUUUUUUAGGCCUGGAAAUCUUAAUGGAACCACAUGGUAUUAUCAUCAGUCAAAGGAAAUAUACCUUGGAGCUUCUACAGGAGUUUGAUGUAGCUCAUCUUCCACCUGUUUCUUCUCCUUUGGAUCCAUCUGUCAAAUUACUUGCAGAUUCAGGGGAUUUCAUGACAAAUCCUACACUAUACAGACAUCUCAUCGGCAAACUUUAACUAUUUGACUCAUACCCGUCCCGAUUUGUCUCAUUCCGUUUUGAUUCUCAGUCAGUUUAUGUAAAAGUCGUGCCUGUCACAUUAUGAUGCUGCUUUGAGAGUGGUGAGUUACCUGCAGCAUUGCCCUAUUCAAGGUUUGUUCAUGUCUCUUUCAUCUUCAUUUUCCCUCCAAGCUUUUUGUGAUGCCGACUGGGCGUCCUGUCGGGAUACAAGGAGGUCGAUCAGUGGGUUUUUUUAUCAAUUUGGGCGGUUCAUCCAUUUCUUGGAAAUCUAAGAAAUAGGCCUCUGUUUCCCUCUC
rnacentral:lncRNA from 1 species